rnacentral:rRNA from 1 species
CGGAGGAUCCAAGCGUUAUCCGGAAUCAUUGGGUUUAAAGGGUCCGUAGGCGGUUUAGUAAGUCAGUGGUGAAAGCCCAUCGCUCAACGGUGGAACGGCCAUUGAUACUGCUAGACUUGAAUGAUUAGGAAGUAACUAGAAUAUGUAGUGUAGCGGUGAAAUGCUUAGAGAUUACAUGGAAUACCAAUUGCGAAGGCAGGUUACUACUAAUGGAUUGACGCUGAUGGACGAAAGCGUGGGUAGCGAACAGGAUUAGAUACCCUGGUAGUCCACGCCGUAAACGAUGGAUACUAGCUGUUGGGAGCAAUCUCAGUGGCUAAGCGAAAGUGAUAAGUAUCCCACCUGGGGAGUACGGGCGCAAGCCUG